rnacentral:tRNA from 1 species
GCGGGGGUAGCAGAGCCAGGCCAAAUGCGCGGGACGCUACCGAAAGCGCGUGAAACUCAAGACCCAAAAAAAGAUCAGGCGGGAGUUAUCCCGUGGGGUAGCCCUACGUGGGUUCGAAUCCCACCCCCCGCACCA